rnacentral:tRNA from 1 species
UAAAUCUUAAGUUAUUUAAACUAUAAGCCUUCCAAGCUUAAAAAAAGACAUCCUUAGAUUUAA